rnacentral:lncRNA from 1 species
GCUUUAGGGAUACUCUGCUGGAAACACAAACGCAUGUAUAAAGUUAUCAGACCAAGCAAUUACAGCUAAUUCACAUUCAUUUAAGUGUUGACAUGAAUGCUAUUAGCACCAGUCAGAUUCUAUGAAUUCUUUAAAAUGUUAACAUAAUUUAAACAUACCUUUUCAUCCAGAAGCUCACGUGUCAUAACUAGCUACGGAUUCUGAUUCAUACGCCAUGUCUGGAGAAAGGGGAGACUUGUGCACUGAGACGAGUGACUGAGUCACUCACAAAAACAGAGGACAAAACAGAAAAACUAUUCUGAUCGAAAUGCAGUUCCUCACAAUAAAAUGACACCUCUAAGAAUGUCAGUGGAAGUAUCCUUAAAAAAAAUUAAAAAAAUCUUAGUUUACGGUAGAAUAGCUCCAUGUUCAAAACAGGAACAUGUGGGUAACAGUAAGGCAGGUCUUGAUGCAGUCUCUUAACCUUUCCACAAAAAAAGGGCAAAAAAAAAAAAAUCAAAAUAGCCCACUGAUAAAAAAAAAAGAUAAAAACAUGACCCAUCAUAGUAGGUUAUUUCACUAAUGCAUACUCUUACAAAAUAAAAUAUAUCUGUUUGUCUUUUUAUUUCUAAACAAAAAAAGAUCAGAAGUUUUCUUCUAUAUAGAGGCUUGUAAAAGUAGUCGAGUUUGUCUCAUCAAUGAAUACGGUGUAAAAUAGUUAAGAGAAAAAAAAUAAGUCUCGCAAUAAUCCUGCUGUAUUCAUUCUCUACAGCGAGACCAGACAUCAACAGUUAAACAGGAAGGAAGGCCAAGGCAAUCUGCAAAAAUCCACUAUUCAAAAGACUAAAACCCUUAAUACGAAUACGUUUAAAAUAUAUUGUCUCCCUAUUUUCACUUAAUCCUAAAAAGACUAGGCUACUCCUUGUGUACCAAUUUCUGAAUUGGUCCAAGAAGCGUUAGUGUAGCCUCCCCAUGAAACAUUUAGCUACAGUAUGCCUAAUGAAUACACAUCUGUGUUAGGCUUGUUGACUCCCCAUGAAACAUUUAGCUACAGUAUGCCUAAUGAAUACACAUCUGUGUUAGGCUUGUUGACUCCCCAUGAAACAUUUAGCUACAGUAUGCCUAAUGAAUACACAUCUGUGUUAGGCUUGUUGACUGUUCUAGGGUGAGUAAUAGAAUGGAAGUCUACGGACUUCAGGGAGACCUAAAACUAACAUUAGGAACCUUUUCACAUUCCAAGUAUGAUCCAAAAGACCAAUAUAAUAGCCCCCAAAUCCUAGGAUGUCUGAUCUGUAUUCAGCAAGGAUUUGUUAGCAUUUCUUCUCAGAACCAGUCUCAACUACAAAGCAUUUUGAAAGUUCAGUAAGAAUCCACCUCGUGUUGCACUUCAUCACAUAUAACAAUAUCAAUCUUUUUUUCCCCCAGGCAAAUAAGAAACUGGCUUUUCCCUAGGGAGCAGAUCAGACUUUUCUUUCCAUCUUGCAUCUUUUUUUCCCCUGAGAUCUCAGUCAGGAAGUGCUUUUCUUUUCCCUGAGAGCUCAGUCAGGAAGUGCUUUUCUUUUCCCUGAGAGCUCAGUCAGGAAGUGCUUUUCUUUUCCCUGAGAGCUCAGUCAGGAAGUGCUUUUCUUUUCCCUGAGAUCUCAGUCAGGAAGUGCUUUUCUUUUCCCUGAGAGCUCAGUCAGGAAGUGCUUUUCUUUUCCCUGAGAUCUCAGUCAGGAAGUGCUUUUCUUUUCCCUGAGAUCUGUCAGGAAGUGCUUUUCUUUUCCCUGAGAGCUCAGUCAGGAAGUGCUUUUCUUUUCCCUGAGAUCUCAGUCAGGAAGUGCUUUUCUUUUCCCUGAGAGCUCAGUCAGGAAGUGCUUUUCUUUUCCCUGAGAGCUCAGUCAGGAAGUGCUUUUCUUUUCCUUGGCAGAUGCUCUCCAUCUCAUCUCAAUGAGGUUCUACUUGUCUGACAACUUUCUUUUCCUUCUUGGCUAUAAACAUUUAUUUAUCCUCAUUAAAUCCCUUUUUUCCCCCUGUUACUUCUGUGAGCCUAUGGUAUUUUGGCUCAAGUGAUGCUGCAGGGACCUUCUGGUUAUAUCUGUGAUGUUGACUUGAUUUUACUUCCGAAAGGACCACUUUCUGCAGCUGGUAGUGGCGACUGUGGAAGGCUGAAUACAUUUCCAGUCAGAAUAUUACUGGGUGUUGAUCCAUGCCAUGAUCCAUCUUUGAUCAAAUGCUCUUCAGAUGUUCUGACAGUUUCUUGGUCUUUGCAGAAAUAAACCAGUUUGACCUCAGAGUGAAGAUCAGACUCCUCCUUUAUGCAGAUGUCAGCAGGUCCAUUAUCCUGGCCAAGCAUUACUGCUUCAUCAGUGGAGAUUGUUUCAACUGUCUCCACAGCGAUAGUGUCUUUACUAUGAUGAGGAUAAACCAGCCUUGCAUCUUGUUCUAUAUUUUUUUCAGGAAAAUAAUCUGAAAGCACAGUUUUUUUUUUUGCUUGGCUUUUAAUCACACUCGGUAGUAUGAACACUUCUUUAGAGAUUUCUCCUUUUCCCAAGAGCUCAGGUUUGUGUUUCUGAACCAUUCUUUUCACUUUACAGUUAAUACGCAGUUGAAAUAGAUUACGUCUCUGAUUUUGCAAACUAAGAUCAAAAUUAUAUUUUAGAAUAUCAAAGAGAAUAUAGCCAAAUCUUUUUUCUUUUUUAUGAUAGGAUUUUAUCUUAGCAUAUUUAUACACCUCAAAUAUUACACCGUUUGUCAGUAAGUGAAAUUCCAGUUUAUUUUUAGAAGGUUUGGAUGCAACAUCAAGGUCCACGCCUAUUUCCUCACAGAGUGGGUAGCACGCUUCGGCUUUCACCAUUUUUUUGGUGUGAGACGUCACAUUUGAUUGGUCUACAUUGUUGUUACCAAUUUGCUUUGUUUCAUCAGUACAAAGUGCAAGGUCAGUGUCAUCAGAGAUUCUCUCUGUUUUGACACAAUGAGGUUCUAUUUGUAUGACUUCAAAAAAAUGGCCUCCCUCAGUCUCCUUGGUUACAAACAUGUCCAUGUCUUUCUUCUUCCUCAUUAAAUUCAAUCUCCUUCUUUUUGAUACUUCUUUCAUUUGGUAUUUUGGCUCAAGUGAUGCUGUAGUGACCUUCUGGUUACUGGACAUCUCUGCAGGAUUCUUUCGUUUGCGUGACUUCUUUAAGAAGAAAGCUUCAUUUUCAAGUUCCCAUCUCCAUGUACCGUUUUUACCCGUCUUGCGCUGCAAAACUGCUCUUAACCUUCCCAUAAUAUCUUCAGCCAGCUCAGUUUUACCACUUUUUAAAUCCAAAUCAAAAUUAUGCUCGAGAACCUCACACACAAUCUGCUUCCAAUUUCCACACACUUGUGAGGCAAAAUCAGCCAAUUCAAACAUUACAUCUCUGGUCAAUAGAUGCAAGUCAAGUUUCUCAGCUUUCCCAUAUUUUGAUUUCACAACAAUGUCAAGUCCUUUUUCCUUACAGAUGGGGUAGAGGUCCCUCAAUGCUUCUUCUACAGUGGGCAUUAUUAAGGAUUGGCCCAUUGUUAUAUCUGUCUGAGAUGUGAAGGUGUCCGCCUGGACAUGUUGAGGAUAGACGAUGCCCAUAUCAGGUUCAUACCUUGUGCAGAUAUCAUUACGUCCAUUUUCAGGGCCAAGGAUUGCAGUCUCAUCAGCACAUCGUGUUACAUCUGUCUCGGUAGAGAAGCUCUCUGUCGUCACAUGCAGAGGAGAGAUCAGGCCAACAACAGGCUCCUCCUUUAUGCAAAUGUCAAACGGUGUAGGAUUUGACCAGCUGUUUUGUAAAUAGAACUGUGCCCAUUUAAGGGAGUAUUCCAAAACUUUAACCGUCUUUGGAUCAGGAAGUUCAAACACUUCUGUUAACCACGCAGGUGUUCUCUUGGAAUGCAUCUUCAGCAUUUCUUUUAAUUUCUUUUCUAUCUUGUUUGAAAAGUCAUAUUGUUGUUCAUUUUGUACACCAAGACCAAAGUUGUAAUCUAGAAUAUCAAAGAUAACAUGAGGGCGAGAUCUAUUAAUGUUUCUAGCAUAUUCUGACACCUCAAGCAUUACACCAAAUGUCAGUAAAUGCAAAUCAAGUUUCUGUUUCGCUCCUGAUCCAACAUUGAAAUCUACACCCAUCUCCUUGCACUUGGCGUAUGGAUCUUUCCAGUAUUUCCCAAACUUUCUUAGGUUUGGUCUUGAGUAACUGCCACGACACUGACGUAUAUAUUUAUCCUCUAACGUUUUCUGGCAUUGUAGUCUUUGUCUUAAAUUGACAUUGUAGUUUUCCUCUUCAUCAGAGGGAAAGUUCAAUGGCUCACAAUAUUCUGGAAGAAUAGGCCUAGUAGAUACAGCUAAAUUACAGCCGCUUUCUGUAGCAGGUGAGGUUAGCACAGAAUGAAUGGCAGUACUAUGGCUUGGGAUAUUAACAUUGUCAGAGGGCAAUUCAUUAUUGAUCUGGGUCUGUGUUUGGCAAGAAACCUGCGAAGUUGGGUUGAUUUCAGCUUCAAAAUAACCACUGAAGGCGGAUGCAUGUCCUGUCAGAAUAUCACUGGAUGGUGCUAAAUGCCACGAUCGCUCUUUGAUUGAAUUAACUUCAGAUGUGCCGAUGGUAUCUUGAUCUUUACAGAAAUAAACCACUUUGACAGCCCUGUUCUCCACAUCACUUGCUCCGGUCAUUUCAGGAAAAAUACGUAAAAUCUGCCCUUGGCUUGUUGUUUGGGGACUGAUGGGAUGUACAUGUGAAUUAUCUUUCAGUAAACCCACAUGGUAACCUGUUUCUGUGUUUCCUGACAAUGUUGAAUUUGGGUAAUCUAUCCAGGCAUUAAUCGAAUCAGACCAAAUUAUUGUUUGGGAUAUCUCCCUCUCAUCUUCCUCUAGUUUAACGUCAACAUCCAUUUUGCACCAAUGUCUCUACAAAAGACAAACUAAUCAAAACCCCCCGAUGACAUUCAUUUCUAAAUGAGCUAGACAGAUAAUGUAAUUUCCCCUAUAUAAAUGAGCUAGCCAAGUGCCUGCAAAUGCCUACAUCGUAUUUGGAGAUGUAGCUAUCUAACUAUGAGAAACACUCUUCACGCCACUUCGAUACAGCUACGACCGGAAGUUACCUUUCUCGUAGCAGAUUAGGACAAAUUAUUACGCAACGGGUUAUGAGAAUCAGUGUAGCAGGUUAGGACAAUUUUGUUAAUAAGGUUAUGAAAAUAAUUAUGGUUAGCAAAACUGCCCUCCUAACCUGCUAUUAAUAUCAUUUCCGGUCGUAGCUCUAUCGAAGUGGUUGAGAAAAAAAAGAGUGUGUCCCAGCUAACUAGGUUAGUUGUCCGUUUACCUGCUAGGCUAACUAACGCUUUACCUUUACUGGUGAUGGGCUACUGCAAAUCCCUUGGCCUUCAUUCUAUUUAGAUAAAUGUAGCAAAAAAGAAAUAUUUCCAAACACUUCGUAUGCUAGCUAGUACACUAAAAACGGAGUGGAAUAUUUACGGAAGUGUUUUGAAGUCGACGUCAGAGGGUUGUGGCCCGACGAAGUACAGACGGAAGUGAUGUCAAAUUCGUUAUCCUGUCGUCAUGCGAUUUGGUCUUGGCUAGAAGGGGUACAGCUGCAGACAGAAGUUGGUUUUUAUUUUUAUUUUUAUCAAACAAAUUGGUAUAGAAUACAACCUUUUAGUGUCAAGUAAGG